UCCUACGGGAGGCAGCAGUGAGGAAUAUUGGUCAAUGGGCGAAAGCCUGAACCAGCCAUGCCGCGUGCAGGAUGACUGCCCUAUGGGUUGUAAACUGCUUUUGUAUGGGAAGAAAUGCAUCUACGAGUAGAUGUUUGCCGGUACCAUACGAAUAAGGAUCGGCUAACUCCGUGCCAGCAGCCGCGGUAAUACGGAGGAUUCGAGCGUUAUCCGGAUUUAUUGGGUUUAAAGGGUGCGUAGGCGGCUAAAUAAGUCAGUGGUGAAAGGCUGUGGCUCAACCAUAGGACUGCCAUUGAAACUGUUUAGCUUGAAUGUAGUUGAGGUAGGCGGAAUGUGUAGUGUAGCGGUGAAAUGCUUAGAUAUUACACAGAACACCGAUUGCGAAGGCAGCUUACUAAGCUAUAAUUGACGCUGAUGCACGAAAGCGUGGGUAGCGAACAGGAUUAGAUACCCUGGUAGUCCACGCCGUAAAACGAUGAUCACUCGUUGUCUGCGAUACACAGUAGGUGACUAAGCGAAAGCGAUAAGUGAUCCACCUGGGGAGUACGAUCGCAAGAUUGAAACUCAAAUGAAUUGACGG
rnacentral:rRNA from 1 species